rnacentral:rRNA from 1 species
GACGAACGCUGGCGGCGUGCUUAACACAUGCAAGUCGAACGGAAAGGCCCUGCUUUUGUGGGGUGCUCGAGUGGCGAACGGGUGAGUAACACGUGAGUAACCUGCCCUUGACUUUGGGAUAACUUCAGGAAACUGGGGCUAAUACCGGAUAGGAGCUCCUGCUGCAUGGUGGGGGUUGGAAAGUUUCGGCGGUUGGGGAUGGACUCGCGGCUUAUCAGCUUGUUGGUGGGGUAGUGGCUUACCAAGGCUUUGACGGGUAGCCGGCCUGAGAGGGUGACCGGCCACAUUGGGACAGAGAUGCGGCCCAGACGGCUACGGGAGGCAGCAGGGGGGAAUAUUGCAGAAUGGGCGGGAGCCUGGUGCAGCAGAGCCGCGGGCGGGAUGAGGGCGUUAGGGUUGUAGACCGCUUUCGCCUGUGAAAAAGCGUGAGUGACGGUAAUGGGUAAAGAAGCACCGGCUAACUACGUG